GAUGAACGCUGGCGGCGUGCCUAAUACAUGCAAGUCGAGCGAACAGACGAGGAGCUUGCUCCUCUGACGUUAGCGGCGGACGGGUGAGUAACACGUGGAUAACCUACCUAUAAGACUGGGAUAACUUCGGGAAACCGGAGCUAAUACCGGAUAACAUGUUGAACCGCAUGGUCAACAGUGAAAGACGGUCUUGCUGUCACUUAUAGAUGGAUCCGCGCCGCAUUAGCUAGUUGGUAAGGUAACGGCUUACCAAGGCAACGAUGCGUAGCCGACCUGAGAGGGUGAUCGGCCACACUGGAACUGAGACACGGUCCAGACUCCUACGGGAGGCAGCAGUAGGGAAUCUUCCGCAAUGGGCGAAAUCCUGACGGAGCAACGCCGCGUGAGUGAAGAAGGUCUUCGGAUCGUAAAACUCUGUUAUUAGGGAAGAACAAAUGUGUAAGUAACUAUGCACGUCUUGACGGUACCUAAUCAGAAAGCCACGGCUAACUACGUG
rnacentral:rRNA from 1 species